GUUUGCUGUCUGGGGAGAUCACUUAGAAAUCCAACUUUAACAGCUGAAUUCUUUGUGGUUAAACCAUUUUGUAAAGGUUUCUUCUCUUGCUAAGACAGAUAAACGAAAUCAGAAUGAGAAUUGCACCCACUGUUCUAGCAGUGCACUGUGAACUUGAGAUUUCUGUGUAAUGUAUGGUUUGUGGGACUCUGUGUCACCUUCUAUGGAGGUAGCGAGAGGAAUUAAGCAUCUUAAACUGUCUUUCUGUACUGUUCUGGUGUGGGAACAGGAAUGAACAUCACCCACUGCUAUUACCCUAGGUGGAAAAUAUAAUGUUUUGCAUGCAUAAAGUUAAGACUUCUUUUUGCAAGA
rnacentral:lncRNA from 1 species